rnacentral:rRNA from 1 species
UACAGAGGGUGCAAGCGUUAAUCGGAAUUACUGGGCGUAAAGCGCGCGUAGGUGGUUCGUUAAGUUGGAUGUGAAAUCCCCGGGCUCAACCUGGGAAUGGCAAUGGAUACUGGCGAGCUAGAGUGUGUCAGAGGAUGGUGGAAUUCCCGGUGUAGCGGUGAAAUGCGUAGAGAUCGGGAGGAACAUCAGUGGCGAAGGCGGCCAUCUGGGACAACACUGACGCUGAGGCACGAAAGCGUGGGGAGCAAACAGG